GAUCGAAGAGUUUUGCUUGUAUAGCUCAUGAGGAGGAAAAUACAUCCGGUUCGAAAGUUGGUCUAAUCCAACUCUUCGAUUUGACACAUACGAAAAAGGAUGGUACUCCUAUGACUGCUGACGCUGCAGAAAUUAUGGAAAAAUUGAGGGAGAAAAAGGCGGA